rnacentral:rRNA from 1 species
AUUGAACGCUGGCGGCAGGCUUAACACAUGCAAGUCGAACGAGUGGCGGACGGGUGAGUAAUGCUUGGGAAUCUAGCUUAUGGAGGGGGAUAACUACUGGAAACGGUAGCUAAUACCGCAUACCAUCGGAUGUGCCCAGAUGGGAUUAGCUAGUAGGUGGGGUAACGGCUCACCUAGGCGACGAUCCCUAGCUGGUCUGAGAGGAUGACCAGCCACACUGGAACUGAGACACGGUCCAGACUCCUACGGGAGGCAGCAGUGGGGAAUAUUGCACAAUGGGCGCAAGCCUGAUGCAGCCAUGCCGCGUGUAUGAAGAAGGCCUUAGGGUUGUAAAGUACUUUCAGCGGGGAGGCGUUACCCGCAGAAGAAGCACCGGCUAACUCCGUGCCAGCAGCCGCGGUAAUAC